ACACCAGCCCUCAGUCACUGGGAGAAGAACCUCUCAUACCCUCGGUGCUCCAGUCCCCAGCUCACUCGGCCACACACACCAUGUGUGAAGAGGAGACCACCGCGCUCGUGUGUGACAAUGGCUCUGGCCUGUGCAAGGCAGGCUUCGCAGGAGAUGAUGCCCCCCGGGCUGUCUUCCCCUCCAUCGUGGGCCGCCCUCGCCACCAGGUGCGUGCUCAUCUGGAUACCACCAGGCUUUGAGCCACUAGGAGUAAGCGCUGCACUGUGGAGACCCUGCUGAGCUGGGGGUUAGGGGAAGGAAGUGUGUGUGUGUGUGUGUGUGUGUGUCUGUGUGUGUCUGUGUGUGUCUGUGCAUGCGCAUGCGUGCGUGCACGCCAGGUGUAGGGAGUUCUUUUCCGAUUAACUGAUAGAGCAGGACCCUUUAAAUAGAAAUAUCCAGGGCCAAAACCAAUAUACAUCAGGCACACAAUGACACUAUUAUGUCUGGCUUACAUUUGGGGGGUUGCCAGGUUUGGAAAAAUUAAUUUAUAUGGGAUUGAACAAGCCU
rnacentral:sRNA from 1 species